CCUACGGGAGGCAGCAGUGGGGAAUAUUGGACAAUGGGCGAAAGCCUGAUCCAGCCAUGCCGCGUGUGUGAAGAAGGCCUUCGGGUUGUAAAGCACUUUCAGUGGGGAAGAAAGCCUUGGGGCUAAUACCCUCGAGGAAGGACAUCACCCACAGAAGAAGCACCGGCUAACUCCGUGCCAGCAGCCGCGGUAAUACGGAGGGUGCGAGCGUUAAUCGGAAUUACUGGGCGUAAAGCGCGCGUAGGCGGUCUGAUAAGCCGGUUGUGAAAGCCCCGGGCUCAACCUGGGAACGGCAUCCGGAACUGUCAGGCUAGAGUGCAGGAGAGGAAGGUAGAAUUCCCGGUGUAGCGGUGAAAUGCGUAGAGAUCGGGAGGAAUACCAGCGGCGAAGGCGGCCUUCUGGACUGACACUGACGCUGAGGUGCGAAAGCGUGGGUAGCAAACAGGAUUAGAUACCCCAGUAGUC
rnacentral:rRNA from 1 species